CGGCGAGGUGUCGGCGCCUGGAGAAGGGGCGCAGAAGUGGGGCCAGUGAACCCGGAGGUGUCCACGUAAUCGUGACCUUUUCACUCUCUUCAAUGAUGGCUUCCUCAGAAGCGCUCCUCUCCCUCUACUUGGCCAGAGAGGACCUUUCAGGAACAGGGAAAGCGAUACACUCCGCUCCCGGCCUCCUCUCGCUGCUCCUCCUGCUCUGCUCUGUGGCUGCCUGCCAAGCCUCACUUCCGGUCUCCUCCCUGCCGCGUGGAUUCCCCCUGCCUCCCACCUACCCAUGUUGUGUUCUCAGCUCGUCACAGGAAUUAACUCACUCGGGCCUCGCAAGAGCUACAUGAGGGAAUGCAUUAUCACUCUCAUUCCAUAAAUUAACCUGGCAGAAUGUGGAAGUUGGUCCUUGAAGACUAUAAGAGUCUGCCUUGAACUGCAUGAGCUGAGCUUUUAAGAUCUGGAACAAGAGUCUGCACCUGAAGUAGCAAAUUUGAUGAACUACACAUCCGUCCUUUCUGACAUUCCUUCAAUUCCUCCUGCGUCUCCAGGCUGACAGUGGAAGAUGUACAGACUUCAACUUUAGAUGGGAGAACAGAGAUUAUAUCAUUUUUAUAUAAUGGAUUGUGGGUGAUCAUCUUCCAACAGCAAGAGGUUAUGGAGGAGAUCGCAUCUGCAGAAGAGGAGGAGAAAAAGGUGGAGGAAUCUCUCACUUCAAAUGAGAUUACAGAGAUAUGUAAAAUGUGGGAAAGGGUGCAAAAUUUUGUAGAAAAGCAGCAUCUGAAUACAGCUGUAGCAGUGUGGGUGAUGAAUCUGUUUACUGACAGUGCAAUGUCACAUUUCCAUGAAAUUAUCAAAAG
ensembl:lncRNA